AGUGGACGCUGGCGGUAGGCCUAACACAUGCAAGUCGAACGGCAGCACAGUAAGAGCUUGCUCUUACGGGUGGCGAGUGGCGGACGGGUGAGGAAUACAUCGGAAUCUACUUUUUCGUGGGGGAUAACGUAGGGAAACUUACGCUAAUACCGCAUACGACCUACGGGUGAAAGCAGGGGAUCUUCGGACCUUGCGCGAUUGAAUGAGCCGAUGUCGGAUUAGCUAGUUGGCGGGGUAAAGGCCCACCAAGGCGACGAUCCGUAGCUGGUCUGAGAGGAUGAUCAGCCACACUGGAACUGAGACACGGUCCAGACUCCUACGGGAGGCAGCAGUGGGGAAUAUUGGACAAUGGGCGCAAGCCUGAUCCAGCCACACCGCGUGGGUGAAGAAGGCCUUCGGGUUGUAAAGCCCUUUUGUUGGGAAAGAAAAGCAGCAGGUUAAUACCCCGCUGUUCUGACGGUACCCAAAGAAUAAGCACCGGCUAACUUCGUG
rnacentral:rRNA from 1 species